CAUUUAUGGAGAGUUUGAUCCUGGCUCAGGAUGAACGCUGGCGGCGUGCUUAACACAUGCAAGUCGAACGGUGAACGAGGGAGCUUGCUCCCUCCGGAUCAGUGGCGAACGGGUGAGUAACACGUGAGCAAUCUGCCCCGAACUCUGGGAUAAGCGUUGGAAACGACGUCUAAUACCGGAUACGAGCUGCGAAGGCAUCUUCUGCAGUUGGAAAGAAUUUCGGUUCGGGAUGAGCUCGCGGCCUAUCAGCUAGUUGGUGAGGUAAUGGCCCACCAAGGCGACGACGGGUAGCCGGCCUGAGAGGGUGACCGGCCACACUGGGACUGAGACACGGCCCAGACUCCUACGGGAGGCAGCAGUGGGGAAUAUUGCACAAUGGGCGCAAGCCUGAUGCAGCAACGCC
rnacentral:rRNA from 1 species